GACUGAGUGGCGGACGGGUGAGUAACGCGUGGGUAACCUGCCUCAUACAGGGGGAUAACAGUUAGAAAUGACUGCUAAUACCGCAUAAGCGCACAGGGUCGCAUGACCUAGUGUGAAAAACUCCGGUGGUAUGAGAUGGACCCGCGUCUGAUUAGCUAGUUGGCGAGGUAACGGCCCACCAAGGCGACGAUCAGUAGCCGACCUGAGAGGGUGAUCGGCCACAUUGGGACUGAGACACGGCCCAAACUCC
rnacentral:rRNA from 1 species